rnacentral:rRNA from 1 species
UUUAUUGGAGAGUUUGAUCCUGGCUCAGGACGAACGCUGGCGGCGUGCCUAAUACAUGCAAGUCGAGCGGAUCUUUGGGAGCUUGCUCCCAAAGGUUAGCGGCGGACGGGUGAGUAACACGUGGGCAACCUGCCUAUGAGACUGGGAUAACUCCGGGAAACCGGGG